GUAAACUCAGCCCCUUCCCCCUCCGGGCUGAUGCAGGACUACAGUCAGCAGAUAUCCUGGGAAGAAGGGAGGACAGUGACAAGAACCAGCAUCUUAUAGCCUGGCUGCCAGGAAGCCAGCCCUAGAGAAUGACGUUCAGGACAAAACACAACCCAUGUUCCACUUGGCACCAAGUCCUCACUGUUUUCCUCUCUGCCCCCAUCUUCCACCUUUGGAUCUCUGGCCAGUCGAAUACACAGAUGUGGAGCCAGUGGACACUGGGGGCCAACUGUACAUCCACGUGGAUUCUGCCCCUCAACGAAGCAUUUGCACG
rnacentral:lncRNA from 1 species